UUUUUAUGUGAACAGAGCAAGACAGGAGAUCAGGGCAACAUCUUAAAUCCAAACCCUAUUUAUACAGAUCAUGGGUUUCCCUUUCUCUUGGAGAAAUUGAGCCAAUUUCAUAGGUUUUCUCUUCCAAUCUUGAUUUGUAAUAAAGGUAUUAAUUUCCUUUUUUAUUUUUUUCUUCAUGUUAUUAUUUGAAAUCUUCAAGUUUUGUUUAUUUAUUGUUUUGCUAAUUUGUUUUUUUAGAUGAUUUUUCAAUAUUCAAGCAUUGAGUUUUUAACUUUGUUGUUUAUUUUAGGCUCUUGAUGAUCAAAACAAUCUGUUCUUGGGUUUCACUGGAAUGUAGAAAACUAGCUGAUUGUUUUUGGUGUUCUAGGAAUUGGGUUCUUUAAUUUGGUUGAGCCUCACCAAUAAAAUGAGUUUUUUAGCCCUUUUUGUAUUGGGAUUUUGCAAUUUCAAAAUUGAUGUUAAUUGCUAGAUUGCUUUCAUUGCACUAAACUAAUGUUUUGUUUUUUAUUAACUUAAUUCCACAGGUCCUAAAAUUAAUAACCAUGUAAAUUUUUAGUGAUAAUCAUAUUAACAACCAUAAGGCUCGAACUUGAGAUUAUAGAAAAAACAAAUCUUCUAAUCCCAAGCUUAUAUCACUGAACUACCUACUAAAUAAUGUGCACCAAACUAAUGUUUUUUUAGCUAGUUGUUGGCUGAUGGUGAUUCAUGAAAGUCUUUUUUUUUUUCCUACCAAUUACAGGUUGGUAAAAAAAUUCAUCAGUCAGAAUUGAAUGAGAUUUUGAUGUUUUACGUUAACUUGAUUUUGAUGUGGUUGGUAGUCUGAACAUGAAAUCUUUAUUUUAUUUUUUCUACAUUGUUGCAGUGAACAAACACAUAGCUGUCAUCCAUUUUGUCAGCCAUGGUAGUAGUUGAAAGAUGAAUUCUUAUGACUAAAUUUCUUAAGACCCACUCUACGUUCAUUCUUUACAUGCUUGCAGGUAUUAAGAAUUUGCAAGGCUUGCUUUGUUGCUUCUAAUUUUUCAGUUGUCUGUAAAAAUGGUUGUUUCUCACGGUGGAUUACAUUUUAGGUAAUGAUUUCUUACUUAUUUGUUGGGUUUUGGCAGGUAAUUACGGAGAUUAAAGUGACAACUAUUUAUUUAUUUUUGUUGUUGAGCCGGGUAUCCCACAUCUAUUUUUAAAGGGUUGGACUAGUCUUGUUUAGGGUUCGUGGCUGCUUCUUUAAAUAAAUAUGCUU
rnacentral:lncRNA from 1 species